GGUCGUGUAGUGUAGUGGUUAUCACGUUUGCUUUACACGCAAAAUGUCGCAGGUUCGAACCCUGCCACGAUCA
rnacentral:tRNA from 4 species